GUCCACCAGACGAGUACAAGUCCUUGCCCGUGGCAGAGUUAUGUUUGAAUAAACUACGUCUCACUGAAUCACAUAUCGGUACUUGAGCGAACAUAUUCCUUUGUCCACCAGAAGAGUAAAAAGCGCUUGCCCGCGGUAGAGUUAUAUUUUGAAAAUCUUUCAAUGUUACUCUGUCGACAUCUCAGAGUAAAAUAAGUUAUUUUGCAUGAACUCGUGCAUGUUAUGUGCCAAUUAGGAUGGGCUGUGUUGUGCCCUAUGAUUGGUCAAAGCACAGAACAGAGUCGUACAAGGUUUUCAAUUGGUUCACAGUGUGUUUCACGGUUUGUUCACGUGAAUGUGUGCUAGCUGGCAGAAGAUGAUCUUUGACCCAUCUGUCAAGACCUUUGACCUAACUGUCAAAGAUUAGGUUGAUAUAAACCAUAUCUACCUCCUCAUCUUACCAUCACACCUUGUCUCAUUAACUUAAAUUUAUAUAUG